rnacentral:rRNA from 1 species
CCGAAGGGACGGGGAUAACCACGGGAAACGGUGGCUAAUACCGGAUGAGCCGAAAGGUAAAAGAUUUAUCGCCCUUCGAGGAGCUCGCGUCCGAUUAGCUAGUUGGUGAGGUAAAAGCUCACCAAGGCAGCGAUCGGUAGCUGGUCUGAGAGGAUGAGCAGCCACACUGGGACUGAGACACGGCCCAGACUCCUACGGGAGGCAGCAGUGGGGAAUUUUCCGCAAUGGGCGCAAGCCUGACGGAGCAAUACCGCGUGAGGGAGGAAGGCUCUUGGGUUGUAAACCUCUUUUCUCAGGGAAGAAGUUCUGACGGUACCUGAGGAAUAAGCAUCGGCUAACUCCGUGCCAGCAGCCGCGGUAAUACGGAGGAUGCAAGCGUUAUCCGGAAUUAUUGGGCGUAAAGCGUCCGCAGGUGGCAUUUCCAGACUGCUGUCAAAGACCAAGGCUCAACCUUGGGCAGGCAGUGGAAACUGAAAAGCUAGAGUGCGGUAGGGGUAGGGGGAAUUCCCAGUGUAGCGGUGAAAUGCGUAGAGAUUGGGAA